CUAAAGUACUAUAGUCAUGUCAAGGGAACACUUCCUCACCGCAUUGCGUCAUUGUAGGAUGUUGCAUUCAAGAUUUAAAUAAUCCUUAUGUUAUCUGUGCUUGUUUCGUAUCGCAUAAUUAUUGUGAAUGAAACGAAGAACCCGUUACCGACGAAAAGAUUGCAGCUGCACUUGCUCAUGAUAAAGAUGUCCAGCCAACUUCAACACCAAGCUACAGACGAGAGUCCAAUGAAACCGAAGAAAGCGUGUGAGAAUAGUAAUUACUGAGUACCUUGAUCCAUAAAUCUAAUGAAAGAGAAAUUGAGAACAGAAAUAUUAUUAACUAUUUUGAUCUGACAAAAUGGUAAAAGGGUGCAGCUAGUAUACUUUUAAAACUUCAUAUUACAUGCAUGUUAUUAAGGUUUAUUUCCAUUACUAUUAAUCAUUAUUAUAAAUACUAAUAUUUAUUAGCAUUUAUUUACUAGUUAACAUGAAAAAUGAACUCAUUAUGUUUUCUUUUAUCCAUACAAAUACUAAUGGUAUUGCUAUCGGUAUGUAAAUUUUCAGUUAGUCUCUUGAUGUUCAUUGUCCACGAAGGUGUACUGGGUGUUAUUAUAAUUGUGUCCAUGUU